rnacentral:SRP_RNA from 1 species
CGGGAGGUUGGUGCGGACGGGUGUCUCGCCAACCCGGUCAGGUCCGGAAGGAAGCAGCCGUAACGAGUUUUGCCCGGGUCGCUGCCAGCCUCCCACCC